UUUAAACGCCGCGGCAGGAAGUUGCAGCACGCCCGAGUACUUGACAGCCAGGGACGAGGAAGAGAAGGAGGCGGGAGCGAGAUGGAGAGGGGGAGGGAGACGAGAGGAGCAGGGACACGGCAACCUGCUUGGAGGACUCACAUGGUCCUACCGCAGUUCAGUACCAGAUCCCGGGACAGCACUCUCAAAACUCGGAACCCUCACCUUUAGUUAUUUACAUUUAUAUCCUUGUUUUUAAUUUGUUUUUUUUCACCCGCAUCUGUCCCUCUCCCCGGCUACCCCCCGUCCGGUCUUAGGCAGCGCCAUGGCUCGGGAGAACGGAGACACCAGCGGGGGGGAGACUUGGAAGAAGCAGGUCGACGACAUCAAGAAGAUGUUCGAUUUGAAGGAAGUCCUCGGGACAGGAGCCUUUUCCGAGGUGGUCCUGGCCCAGGAGAAACUGACGGGUCGAAUGUUUGCGGUGAAGUGCAUUCCGAAAAAGGCCCUCAAGGGGAAAGAGAGCAGCAUUGAGAACGAGAUCGCCGUGCUGAGGAAGAUUAAGCAUGAAAAUAUCGUGGCGCUGGAGGACAUCUACGAGAGUCCGGAUCACCUCUAUCUCAUUAUGCAACUGGUGUCCGGCGGUGAGCUCUUUGACCGAAUCGUCGAAAAAGGCUUCUACACGGAGAAAGAUGCCAGCACGCUCAUCCGACAAGUCCUGGAUGCUGUGAACUAUCUACACAACAUGGGCAUCGUGCACCGAGACCUGAAGCCGGAGAACCUGCUGUACUUUAAUCCCCAUGACGGUUCGAAGAUCAUGAUCAGUGACUUUGGUCUUUCCAAGAUGGAGGGUAGCGGCAAUGUCAUGUCCACUGCCUGCGGGACACCAGGAUACGUCGCGCCCGAAGUGCUCGCUCAGAAGCCGUACAGCAAGGCGGUGGACUGCUGGUCUAUUGGAGUGAUCGCCUAUAUUCUGCUGUGCGGGUAUCCCCCUUUUUACGACGAGAACGACUCCAAGCUGUUUGAACAAAUCCUCAAAGCCGACUACGAGUUUGACGCGCCGUACUGGGACGACAUAUCCGACUCCGCCAAGGAUUUCAUCGGCAACCUCAUGGAAAAAGAUCCAGCCAAGCGGUUCACCUGCGAACAGGCUCUCAGACAUCCCUGGAUCGCCGGAGAUACAGCUCUCUGCAAGAACAUCCACGAGUCCGUCAGCCGGCAAAUUAGGAAAAACUUUGCCAAGAGCAAAUGGAGGCAAGCGUUCAAUGCCACGGUGGUGGUUCGCCACAUGAGGCGGUUGCAACUUGGCAGCAGCACGGCGGGCAGCAUGGACGCUUCCAACCCCCCCGCCAGGACGAGCCAGAAGCUGGCACAAGGUCCCAGCCAGGCGGACCGGAACAGGCCGGCUCCCGGCCAGAACGCCGGUUCGGCCGCCAGCCAGACUUCGUCUUUUGACAACUUAGGAGGGCCGCGCAAGGAAUGUGUCGCCGCGCCAGCCACUCCCUGCAGCCUGGCCUCCGCAGCCGCUUCCCCCGCGCCGGGGGGCGAGCUGAGCCGACCGCACCCCUCGCCGGUGCCCGCCCCUGUGCUGGCGGAGACCAAGUGACGCCAGGUGUCGCGGGGGACCAGCUGGGAGGCCACGGCGCUGUGAAGCGCAGGAGGACGCCAGGAGAGGACGUUUGACCCCCUUCGUCCGUUCACUGAACUUCUUCAUGGAAGUGUGCCCCCACCCACCAUGUCCUCCUCCUUCCCCUCAGCUGGUUCCUCGCCCUGCUCCGAGACGAGCAGAGGACCUUCACCCGGCCGACAACCCCCGCCGCUCCCAACUGGGAUCCAGCCGCACGACAUCACAGACUCCGGCUGAGCAUGUUUCAGGCUUUCGGCUGCGCGCAUGUGGCCGUAAGGCCAAGUUUGACCACGCCGGAUCGAGCGUAGAAGGUUGAGCUCGGAAAAAAAGAGACAGCGGAUCCCCUUUCCCUCCAGGGUGUUCGUGGGACGUAGAGAUGCGGAGAGCUUCACAACGCUGGAAGUCAAUUGCAUUCCGAGCUUACCCACUCACCCGUCUGUGGUUGGACAAAAGCUGCACAAGGAAGGGGGGCCUCGACACUGCAACACUUAUCGGAAAGAGGCAAGUGUGACUAAUUUCUAUUUCAGGAGGACUGCUUUUGUGAUUUUUUUUUUGGUCCCAUAAAACUGGCGUUGAGACCAACUUUGUGUUAGAAAACGUUAGUCAUUAACCCUUUCAGGGACAGCGACCACUACAGUGGACGGCUUAUCAUGUUAUCAGAUUACAAGGUGCAGGAAAGGGUUAAAUUUAGCAUUGUCAUUCCCUGCCGGACAUUUGAGAGCAUUUUGACAUUUUCAAGACCCAUGGGCUCUUGUGUUCUGUAUUUAUACAUACGCCGAAUGUACCAAAUGAAAGAAUAGACUCUCUCCUUUUGCCGUUUUUCCAUUCUUUUUCUCAUCAUCAGUACCCCCCCCUCCAAAAAAAGGGGAGGUUUCACAAAAUGCAGCCAUUUCUCCAAGUGGACUCACUAACUGUGCUACUCUUUUCGCUAAGAUGGGAUAUCGUCGCCAUCUACUGGUGAUUGUACAUCAGUGAAGUUGUUUCCAAGUUUGACAUUUACACUGGAGCGGCACCAGAACCCUACCCAUCCUCAUUCGACAAAAUAAAUGUAACGGACAGUUCUUUCAGCUGUGUUGCUAACACAUUUCUUGUUCGCUUUAACUCAUCAGGAUGAGUCAUUUUUACCCUUUGUCGGGUAAGAACCUUGACCCAAUGGCUAUGGGUCCAAUCCUCUACUCGAUGCAUUAACCCAGCAUUGGCUCAGUUUCUGGGCUAUUUCGCCCAAUUUGGGUUACUUUGGACCAAACUGUGUGUACUUGGGAUUGUGGUGGCAUGAGAGGUGGAUUAACUCGAGUAUGUAUCGCAAUGAAGGCCCAGGCACCAAAUACGCGU